rnacentral:rRNA from 1 species
CUCGCCUGCACGAAGUUGGAAUUGCUAGUAAUCGUGGAUCAGCAUGCCACGGUGAAUACGUUCCCGGGUCUUGUACACACCGCCCGUCACACCAUGGGAGCCGGUAAUACCCGAAGUCAGUAGUCUAACCGCAAGGAGGACGCUGCCGAAGGUAGGAUUGGCGACUGGGGUGAAGUCGUAACAAGGUACC